rnacentral:lncRNA from 1 species
CAGAAUUACUCAACUUCAUUUUACGGUUUUCACUUGCACUGAAUAGACAGGAGACGUGGAAGAACAGCUAUUGAAGUAAUUUAAAUUACGCAAAAUAGUACAUUCCAGACUUGUGAAUGGGAUUCCCUACAGCAGGCGUGGGAGGGAGUUAGGCAUCUUUCUUGUCUUCCGCAGGCAGUGGCUCUGGAAUAUUUUCCUGCAUGACAGUGCUGCUUCAGCAGAAGAGGUUCUGUCUCACAACUGCUGCUGCUUGACUGAUGAAUGGAGGGGACAUGGUAGAAAAAAACACAGGCUUAAGUCUGUAAAAUUCAGUAAAUAAGCAUAC